UACGGAGGGGACUAGCGUUGUUCGGAAUUACUGGGCGUAAAGCGCGUGUAGGCGGCAACGCAAGUCGGGCGUGAAAUCCCCAGGCUUAACCUGGGAACUGCAUUCGAGACUGCAUUGCUAGAGUAUGGGAGAGGGAAGUGGAAUUUCCGGUGUAGCGGUGAAAUGCGUAGAUAUCGGAAGGAACAUCAGUGGCGAAAGCGACUUCCUGGACCAAUACUGACGCUCAUGUGCGAAAGCGUGGGGAGCAAACAGG
rnacentral:rRNA from 1 species